AGCGAACGCUGGCGGCAGGCCUAACACAUGCAAGUCGAACGAUCCUUCGGGAUAGUGGCGGACGGGUGAGUAACACGUGGGAACGUACCUUUAGGUUCGGGAUAACUCAGGGAAACUUGAGCUAAUACCGGAUGUGCCCUUUUGGGGGAAGAUUUAUCGCCUUUAGAGCGGCCCGCGUUAGAUUAGCCAGUUGGUGAGGUAAAGGCUCACCAAGGCUCCGAUCUAUAGCUGGUCUGAGAGGAUGAUCAGCCACACUGGGACUGAGACACGGCCCAGACUCCUACGGGAGGCAGCAGUGGGGAAUCUUGCGCAAUGGGCGAAAGCCUGACGCAGCCAUGCCGCGUGAAUGAUGAAGGUCUUAGGAUUGUAAAAUUCUUUUAGCAGGGACGAUAAUGACGGUACCUGCAGAAAAAGCCCCGGCUAACUUCGUGCCAGCAGCCGCCGUAA
rnacentral:rRNA from 1 species